UCCUGGACAAAUAUGAAGUAAAU
rnacentral:miRNA from 1 species